rnacentral:rRNA from 1 species
UACGAAGGGUGCUAGCGUUGUUCGGAAUCACUGGGCGUAAAGCGCGCGUAGGCGGCUAUUCAAGUCAGAGGUGAAAGCCCUGGGCUCAACCCAGGAAUUGCCUUUGAAACUGUAUAGCUUGAGUGUCGGAGGGGAUAGCGGAAUUGCUAAUGUAGAGGUGAAAUUCGUAGAUAUUAGCAGGAACACCGGUGGCGAAGGCGGCUAUCUGGACGACAACUGACGCUGAGGCGCGAAAGCGUGGGGAUCAAACAGG